AUAUGGUCAUGUGUAAAUCAUGCAUUUUGAAUGUUUUUCAUGCGGCUUUGCAAUAUAAAAGCCGUCCCUGUUUGUUCAUUCCGCACAUUUGGAUGUUCAACAGUUUGCUGUAGAUCCAGACAAUGAAGAUGUUGCUGCUUGUGUUCGUGUUGGCACUGAUGACGUUUGCCUGCGUUACUGCUUACCCUCCCAAAGACAAAGACCGCUCGCGUGUCCUCCUGGAAACACUAGCCCCUGUGUAUGCCAGAUAUGUUGUUUGCUACUCGUGUGGUUCACGGUACAAUAAGUCCAAGAGCGACUGUGACGAUGACGUCAGGAAGUUAGCAGUGCAGGCCUGCACCCGAUUCCCAUGCACCUUCCCGCUUAAUGAUCGUCUAGAAAGACUACGCAAGUUUCUCACGCUCAGGUACCAGACAGAAGCAAGGCGUUGGUGUGGCGCGGAUUGGGUCAAGAAAUAUAUCUGAAAAAGAUGUUUGUAUUUGUACACCCUGGCUGACAAUAAAUGCUGAUUGAAAACUCAA